rnacentral:piRNA from 1 species
UUAAAACAAGGUGCAAAUAAUC